CCGUCUGCUCGUGCUCGGGUCUACGGGAAUAUGCAUCACAACAGAUUACAAAUGAGACCCCCUUGAAGAGCUCAGGCACCCAAAUGGGUUGGAUUUGGACUAACUUCAUGGUGGUACAGUCGUCCUCCUGGCCCCUAGAGGAGGCAUGUGCAUCAGCUGAAGCUUCUGAAACAACACUGGUGGUAGACACAGGAUACAUCAGCCAAAAAGCAUUUUUAAUCAAAUAAGAUGAAGACCAAGGCAGAACCAGAGGAAUGAGGGAGCCCAGCGGAGCUAGUGGAACGCUGGGCCAUGGCAGAGAGGAAGGAGCUAGGAGCCAUGGUGGGGCAGACAACUCAACAGGCCGAGGUGUAGUCUGGAGCCCAGAGGCUGGAGGCAGAGUCAUGGGAUACUCCGACCACUGCAACGUUGAAGGAUGGCAGUCCCGAGGAGCUUGCACCGCAUAGAUGGUAUGCUGAGGGUGAGCAGAUGACAGUGGAGAAGAAUGCUGGAGUGCCAUGGAGUAUUUGUGAGCCUCCAGGGUCCAGAGUGGCACUGACAAGAUCACCCUCAGGAUAGAUGAUGACCAGGGAUCCGUGUCUCACCAGUAUCCACUCCACAUAGGCGGCAAAAUUCAAUGGAGGACCAUCUUUCGGACAACAGCACUCUGUAGAUGUUUAACCUGCAUCAUAUAACACACAAAACGUGUCUUCUGGGUAGGUGGUUAGAGCAGCGAGGACCAGGUUCAGUCUAGUUUGACUCUUGAGUGAUCUCUCCCCCUGCUCCGGCAGGAGGAGGAGGUAGACGGGAGAGGGGAUGCAUGAAAAACACAACAGGAAAAAAAAAAAAAAAACAGGGUAGACUCACCAGGAAACAUGAGGCAGACUAGACAUAAAACUAACAGGAGACAGACAGAUGCGGGAAACAACUUAUAAUGAGACAACAAGAACAGGAACAUGACCAAAUAAGGAAACACUGAAACAGAAAUGGGACAAAACAGGUCCAUAAUCCUGACGGCAUGAAGCAGCAUGAAUUUUUUUUUAAAUUCCCCUAUUUUUGUGUUCUACAGAAGAAAUUUGCAUACUCGUUUGAAACAUGAAGAUGCAUAAUGAGGCAUUUUAGGGACAAGUAAACACAAGGCAUUUUAGAGACAAACAUAUUUGCAUUUUUUAUAUUCUUCCUUUUCAUAGUGCAUAUAGUGUAAUAUCAAAAUCCAACCUGCACUUAUCAUUAACAGCCCCAAUUCUUCUGACAUUCUAAAACCACACAGAUUGAUUUCCAUUUUCACUCAUCAUUGCAUUCUCUUCAGCAGCAAGUCGAGUGACACACUGAGUGGGCCUUUCUAAAGGUCAGCUUGCUCUCAUGUGACCUGUGGUUUAGCUGCACUCUAUACUGGAAAAACCCAAAGAGAGCAGCGCGCUCAGAAAGGGGUCGGGGGACCUUCUGAAGCGUGCUGCACUCUGCAAGCAGAUCUAGAUAUGAAUCACUGUGUAGCAGCAUGACAUAUAAAAAGAAUGACAGGUAAAAUAAACUCAUCUGUGGUAUGUGCCUUGCAGGAAUGUCUCACAUCAGCAGGACUCUGUAUUUUCUCCUGACUUGCUUGCCUUUUAAGCAUGUAGUAGUCUGAACAAUGCAGGUUUGCACCAAAUCCUAACAGACA